GAGAAAAUGUUUUUGUUUUUUUUUAAUGGAAGAAAAGUGGAAUUUUGGGGGAAAAUAUGUGUAAUAUAACUUAAAAAAGUAGUAUUUUUAGGGUGAAAAUAGGGGACUUUAGGGUGAAAAAAAGGCAUUUUAGAGGCUGUGGUGGGCUAGACAAAAUCCACCCAGCAAGAUGAAGAAAUCCCCAGCUGGCAGCUGGUGUUCCUGCUUCAGCCUGGGAAAGCCAUCCUCCGUAGCCACACAUGAACUGCAGCACAAUGCCAGGGAGCCCUCAGAAACAGAGGUUAUCGUGGUCCUGGCAGGUAAGGGUGCACAUCCAGCUUUUAAAACACUGCUUGUCAGCGCCAUCGAAUUCAUGCUUUCAGUAGGCUGUACCUCCUUCUUGCGUUCAAGCCCGUGCCUAACAUCUUCAGUUCGGCCCUGUCUUUCUUUCCCCGGUGAGUCUCUGGUGAAGUCAUGAUCUGGACCUGCACAAGGAUCAUUUUCAAGACAGUGGCACUGUUGCUAGAAGCCUGUUUGCUUCUUCUCACCACUACUACAUAGCCAAAUGUCAACAACCACUCUCGUACUUCAGCCUGUCACUGUCUUGGUUUUGUUUCCCUAGGGGGACGAGGAGACAGCAGGAUUCUUUGCUCAGCUAAAAGUGCAGGCUUAAUUAACAGCUAUUGCUAACUCCUUUCUUUGUUGCUGUUGCUGCUGUUGUUGUUGUGGUUUAGAGCUAGCUGGGAAGCAUCUUGCUUGUUGCUUGAAGCCUCCGUGACAGACAGCACCAAGCCUCGGCCUCCUUGGACAGUGAAAGUUUGACGCUAACCUCUGUGUAUCUACUCCUUCCUAGGUGAAUUGAGCCUUUGUCCACCCAGAAGAGCCGCAGCAAAUAGCGGUGAUGAUCUGUGUGCUUCCAUCAGCGGUGAGCUUCUAGGAAGCACGAACUGCUGCAGUUCCAGUGACAGCCUUCCAUGCGAUAUCAGUGAUGGACAGAAGGAGCUCAUUCAAGUUGUAGCCCUCAUUUCUCCCGGCUGUGUAGAAGACGCUGACCUGAGCCUGCCCGACACAGCAGUUACCGACCUGGACUGUGACGGGGCGUCACCGCAGUGCAGCCCCACCCAAGCACAGCCCGUGUGCCCCGACAGCAGUACCUCCAUGCAGGAU
rnacentral:lncRNA from 1 species